UCGUCUCUCCACGGAGCGGUGGGUUAGCUUAAUGGUUUAAGCAUUUGCUUGUCACGCUGAAGACACAGGUUCGAAUCCCCACAUGGGUACAAUGUGUGAAGCCCAUUUCUGGUGUCCCCUGCCGUGA